rnacentral:lncRNA from 1 species
UUCUCUUAUUUUUUAAAUGAUUCUCUAACUUUUUGUAAGCUUGAAAGUGGUUGGAAACUGAGUUUUGACUGUUGGGAGACUCGGACUAGCCAUUAGAGUGGAGAAAUGGCCAUUCGAGAAGUAUAGAAAAACUAGCUCUUAUAGUUUCCUAGUGUUAAGAGUCAACUCGAAUUCCUCAAGAGUCGACUCAAGCUGCCAUGAGUCGACUCAAUCUUUUCAGGAGUCGACUCAUCUUCAAGAUCCA